CAUGCAUGUCUCAGUACAAGCCGAAUUAAGGUGAAACCGCGAAAGGCUCAUUAAAUCAGUUAUGGUUCCUUAGACCGUACCCACAUUUACUUGGAUAACUGUGGUAAUUCUAGAGCUAAUACAUGCAAACAGAGCUCCGACCGGAGACGGGAGGAGUGCUUUUAUUAGAUCAAAACCAAUCGGCCGCGUCGGCGCUUCGCGCGCCGCGCGCGCGCCGCUCAACCUGGUGAAUCUGAAUAACUUUAUGCUGAUCGCACGGUCGAGCACCGGCGACGCAUCUUUCAAAUGUCUGCCUUAUCAACUGUCGAUGGUAGGUUCUGCGCCUACCAUGGUCGUAACGGGUAACGGGGAAUCAGGGUUCGAUUCCGGAGAGGGAGCCUGAGAAACGGCUACCACAUCCAAGGAAGGCAGCAGGCGCGCAAAUUACCCACUCCCGGCACGGGGAGGUAGUGACGAAAAAUAACGAUACGGGACUCAUCCGAGGCCCCGUAAUCGGAAUGAGUACACUUUAAAUCCUUUAACGAGGACCAAUUGGAGGGCAAGUCUGGUGCCAGCAGCCGCGGUAAUUCCAGCUCCAAUAGCGUAUAUUAAAGUUGUUGCGGUUAAAAAGCUCGUAGUUGAAUCUGUGUCUCGCGCUGUCGGUUCACCGCCCGCGGUGUCAAACUGGCACGCCGCGAGACGUCCUGCCGGUGGGCUCCGCCCGUGCUCGCCCCGGUCCGCUUCGCGCGGCCGGGCGGCCGGGCGUCCCGUUAUUCAAUCCUGCCGCGGUGCUCUUCGCUGAGUGUCGAGGUGGGCCGGCACGUUUACUUUGAACAAAUUAGAGUGCUCAAAGCAGGCCGAAAACAAGCCGAUAUAUUGUGUGCAUGGAAUAAUGGAACAGGACCUCGGUUCUAUUUUGUUGGUUUCCGGAACGACGAGGUAAUGAUUAAUAGGGACAGAUGGGGGCAUUCGUAUUGCGACGUUAGAGGUGAAAUUCUUGGAUCGUCGCAAGACGGACAGAAGCGAAAGCAUUUGCCAAAAAUGUUUUCAUUAAUCAAAAACGAAAGUCAGACGUUCGAAGGCAAUCAGAUACCGCCCUAGUUCUCACUAUCAACUGUGUUAGCUAGCGAUCCGCCGACGUUCCUCCGAUGACUCGGCGGACAGAUUCUGGAAAACCAGAGCUUUUGGUUUCCGCGGGAAGUAUGGUUGCAAAGCUGAUAUUUAAAAGAAUUGAUAGAAGAGCACCACCAGAAGUGGGGUCUGCGGCUUAAUUUGACUCAACACGGGAAAGCUCACCGGGCUCAGACACCGGAAGGAUUGAUAGAUUGAGAGCUCUUUCUCGAUUCGGUGGGUGGUGAUGCAUUGCCGAUCAGAUCAUGAACGAGACUCUCACUUGCUAAAUAGACGAGAUUGAUCGAUAACAGGUCUGUAACGCCCUUAGAUGUUCUGGGCCGCACGCGCGCAACAUUAAUUGAUUUAACGUAUCGUCCUAGGCCGAACAGUCCCGGUAACCCCCUGAGCACGAUUUGUGCUAAGGAUUGGGGCUUGCAACUUUUCCCCAUGAAAGAGGAAUUCCCAGUAAACGGGAGUCAAUACCUCGCGUUGAGUAACUACCCCUUAUACAUACCGCCCGUUGCUACCACCGAUUGAAUGAUUUAGUGAAGUCUUCGGAUCGGUACGCGGCGGCGUAGCUGCCGAUGUAGCUGGGAAGAAGAACCAAACAAUCUCCGAUGUAGCUGGGAAGAUGAACCAAACCUGAUCGCUUAGAGGAAGUAAAAGUCGUAAUAAGGUUUCCGU
rnacentral:rRNA from 1 species